AGAAGCCUGAGUGGGCAGUGCGUUCUGGGAGUUGUAGUCCCUGCGGGAAAACACUCCCCCCGCCCCCCCGAUGCCGGUCUGCACCAUGCGCUGCACUUCAUCUCGCAGCUGCCCCCGUGCCACGGAGGAGGUACUAUUCCUUACCUGGUUUUGAAUGGGUCUAACUGAAUCCAAGAAGAGUCCUCUUGAUGAGCACUGAGGAAUACAGAGCAAAGAGAAAACUGGGGCUGUGGUUCUUUACUCCAGCCCAAGUAAAGAACUGGUGUACAAAUAUCACAGAGUGGGAAAAGAAUGAGUGCUGCCUGUUUAAUUCACAAGGGUAGUGGAAGCCUGGUAGAAGAGGACAAGAGAGUACCACAGGGAGCUGGCUGGCAAAAAGAGCAAGGAAUUAUCUGAAACAGGAAUGUGAGAUUCCAUGUUGCAAGAUAGUCCACUGAGAGACCCACAUGGCUAGUAAUGGAGGAAGGCCUCCAGACAAAACUUUGUGAACAGCUGAGGCCUCAGUUCAACAAACGCAUCCCUGAAGAAACUGAGUCCAGCCAACAAACACAAGAGUCAGCAAGGAAGAGGAUCCUUUCGAGUUGUCUUGAGUUGACUACAGCCUGUGAGAAACCCAAGGUCAGAAGACUCAGUGAGACGUACUUAGUUUCCUGGUCCACAGGAUCUGUGAAAUUAUAACUGUUGUUAAUUUAAGCCACUAAAUUUUUGGGGUAAUUUGUUACACAGUAAUAAAUAGCUAAUGCACUUAGUAAGUAUCGUGAUAAGGAUUUAAAGUGAAUAGAGCAAAAACACUGCCCUUAAGGAUCCUCAAAGGCUAAUGGGCAACAUAGUUCACAAUAUAGUAAGUUGUAGUUUCAGAGAGAACAAACUCAAUGCCUAGUUGAUAAAACCCCCGUUACUUAAUCAAGUUCUUUUACAAUGGAAUAUUUGACAUCAUAAUGUUUUUAUCUUAAACUCUGCAUUUCUUUACAUUUUAUGCAAAUAAAUAUAUUCUAAUACAAUAUGAUGUUAUACUUUAAAGAUUUUUGGGUGUUUUUAUCACAAUUUUCAACAAUAUUUGUCAAUAGCUAUUUCUAUUCUAUUCUUACCCCUAU